GAAAAAAGACAGAGAACCUCCACAAAGCUUUGGCCCAGAGAUACGUCACAUUCUCAGAGAGGGCAAAACUGGAAGCUGCCAGCCUCAGUGACUUUCAGCAAAAGCAAAACCUCACUCAGCAAACAAUAGAGCAGUGGGUGUUUGAUGUCCAGCAAUGGGCAGUCACAGAUCGAGUCUACACACAAGGGUGUACAGAGGACCUCAGGGCAGAAAUAGAGACCAUCACAGUAACCCUCCUACGCAAGAAGCAGGACCUCUAUCGUCAGCAUGAUAGCAACCAGACAAGACACAGCAAGCGAAGAAAACUUAGAGAUUUAAAAAAAAAACUAAGAGAUAAGGUCUUGCAGUACAACGCAUCUGAAGAAGAUGAAAUUGAUGAGGACUUGGCCUGCAAUUUGACGGAGGGCUACAUCCUGCCAUGGGAGAGAAGUGAAGAUGGCCACUCAUUCAGAUUGAAAAGGUCACUCUUUGACCGAAUUAUGCUUAAACGGUAUGAGGAGGAGCAGAGCAUCCUCAUCAAAGAAAUUACACAGCACAUCAUGUCAUUAAGGAAGGAGAUAAAGGGAGUGGAGAAACUCAAAGACAACAUUGGGAUGUUCGAUUUUGGUGACAUGUCAGAGGAUGCUGCAAAAGGUUUCGAAAGUGUCCUCAUGUGGAGGUCCACCGAACUGGAGAAUUCAUGCCAACAAGCUGAAUGACAAGGACAGGAGUUGGCAUGAAAUUGCCACCGCGAUGGACAUACCAGUGGAAGAAGUACGUGCGAGGGCAACGUCACUGAGAACGCAGUACUCAAGCUUCUGAAAAGCAAACCAAGUGGUAGUGGAGAUACAGCUUUAACCAGCAAACAGAAGUGGAUGCUGAAGUCCUUAUUUUUUUUAAAAGCACAUGUCGUCCAGCGUGCUACAGAGACCAGUCUUCACAUGUCAGUGAAAGACAGCCUGGCUGUGGAGGAGAUCCACUCUGAGGCAGAAGAAGGUGCGUCAGAGGUGUCAGAGCUGCCAGAAGAUCUGGAGCCAGUUGCCUCUUCUGGAACAACACCACCACAUGCCUGUACUCCUGAGCCUCCAAAUCUGGCCAAGAAACGCAAAAAAGUCCAGUCACCUGAUGAAAUCGAAAUUCAAAAAGUCAACAUCCUCCAGCAAAUGUCUAAAGUCAUAGCGGAAAAUAGAAACAGGCCAGUGCAGACAGACAGCGACACCACUUUUGGUGUACAGGUUGCAGCGGAGCUAAGGAGUAUUAACAACCCAAUACUAAAAACAAGGGUGAAGCGCCAGAUAAUGGCAGCUCUAUAUGAGGCUCAGGAGUCUGAACUCAGCAUGUCCUCUCCAACAUACAGAAGGCCACAUCCCUAUCACCCACCCUCAACUGGCCAGAUCCCCCCUCCACAACUCCCCUCUCCUCUCACAUACACAGACACAAAUUUUCAGCCAUACACCAGCUAUCGGAGGAUGCUGGAUGAAGACACAUAAACUAUGUAUGAUGUUUAAUGUAUUUCUUUUUGUUGUAUUUUAAUGAUUGUCCUAUAGCUUAUAUUUGUUAUUCUCUAAUGUUUGUACCUAUUGAAAAUAAAC
ensembl:lncRNA